CUCACUUUCUCCCUUCAAAAGUUAAAGGAAACAAAAACCAAAAAACAGAAGGGAAAAAAAAAAACCAGCUACCGAGACACCUGAGGUAUCAACGGUGUAAUAGAUCGAAAGAGAAUCCUGACGGGCCGAGGUUCCUUUAGAUUCCGUGAACGUAUGCUUGUUGCUGUCCUUCCACAUUUGAACCCUACUCCCCUUAGGCUUUUCUUUUGCUUUUCCCCCUCUCUCUCUCUCUUAGGGUCCAUUCAGAUUGGAUCGGGUCCGUUCAAUAAAUCCAAAUUUGAUCUAGAAAAUAAUUCGAGUUCAAUUUUAGGAUCCGACCCGGAUCCGCAGAUCCAAAAAUUCAGAUCGGAUCGAAUCUACGUAGGUCGGAUCGGAUUACGGGUUGACCUGAUCCAUUUGCAGCCUUACCUACGAGUGAUAUCAUGUGAGUUGAUGUCCAAGAUCAGCUUUCUAACCCGACCCGACCCAUUUCCUGCGUUACGUACGAGUGACGUCAUGUGAGUUGACAUCCAAGAUCAGCUUUCUUCCAGCCAUCUUCAUGCUUCGAAUCUCCUCAAGUGAUCCAGACCAGAACUUGCCACUAGUACCCCUACCCCUUGCUUCCUGAACCUCUUUGUUAUGGCAUAUGUUCUCCAUGUAAGAUAUACCAUUCCCCUCCAAAGGCUAGAGAUCAGUACCACCACUAAGGCGCCCAGCACCAAUCCAAGAUUGCUCAUCUCCCUACAAGAAGAAGCUCAAAGUUAGAACCCAGCCCAAAUCUUCAAAACUUAGUUGCUUGCAGCCAUAGCAUGCAAAGGAGCAGCAAUUCGGGGAUCUGGAAAUCAGUUUGAGCAAAGAAAACUUCGACAGCCGACCUUUGAUACCUUCCUGAAGGAUAUAGUAACAUUAGAGGAAGAUUGCUAUCAUCCUACUAGAUAUCAGAAUAUGUCAUGUUGUGGAGGCAUAUCUAAGUAAAACAAAAUAGUGAUUCUAUUGAUUCAAAUGAUACACAAUUUUAGUCCAUUUAACAUCCAUGAUAUUUAAGUUUGAAUGCUGAAGAUGGCAACAGCAAUGAGCGCAGUCAAUCAAAAUAUUUUUCAGGCAUGUGUCCAAAUUGAAAGCAAUGGUGAUCACUCUUUCACUAGUCGAUGAUAAUUAGCUUUUAAGUGCACGCUAUGACCGAAGAUUUGAAUCAUGCAAAGGAUCAACUCAGCCAUGUUGUUUCCUCACCAGCCAAAGCUUGAAGGGAAGAAACGAUCUCAAAUGGCAAUCAGAGUGCGGAGGGCUUGCUUAAGACCUUUACAUGAAGGCUCGGAAAUGAACUUGCUCCGACCCAUGUGCCCACGCCCAAGUCUGGUCCGAGCCCAGGCCUUCUCUUACAUAACAAACCUAUUAAAAAAAUCAUGUUCCAGAGGAGACGGGAGGGCGACGAAGAAAAAGAGAAAUAGCAGGCUGUAACACGAAGGUGAGUAUUGCAGUGAAAUACGAGGUUGACACUAAGAUCAUCCAUAUUCAUCUUUAGAUCCUAAGUAUGUUUGAUAACCUUUUGGACCAAAUCUUAUUUUGUUUAUCUUUUAUUUUCUUUUUAUGUUCAAUAAAAAAGCAAUUCUAUCAUGUAUUCUUCGAUCCAAUGAUAAUCCAUCAAUCCAUCUAAUGCUGCUUGCUUAACCUACUCUAAUAGUUCUCUAGUGAAAAAUUAUUUACAUGCUUCUCGUAUCUUUGUUUGGAUUCAAAACUUUGAUAAUAGUAUCACUAAUUUUUUUAUUGUCCUUCUUUGGAAACCAAGACAGCCAACCCUAAAUUAUUUGUCUAGCAUGCAAACUUGCAAUGGUUUAUGCUUUACUAAAAAUAAAUAAUAAUAGGCAUGCAACUUAUAAAGUUAAUUAGGGGCACAUGUUUUUUUAUUAACAAUAGACCAUACAUGGAUAAGGUUGUUCCAAGAUAAGUAUUAGAGGGCUCCACCAAAUGCUGCGCAAUCAUGUGAAUCCUAGCCUUAGUUACCUGAUCUGGGAAGAUGUGUGGGAAUGGGUUUGUAUGCUAGUGAAGGGAAGUGGAUCUACAAGAAGUUUCGAGUAAAAAGCACCUAAGAAGCAAGUGCAAAUGCAAACUCUUAAGAGAUUUCAAAGUGGGUGUCUCAGAUGUCUCUUUCUACUAAGGUCAAACCUCUAUUAACUAAUUGCCUUUGUGACAUACAUGGGAAAAGACCACAUGAGUAUGGCCAAGCAACUUCUUAACCUUUUUCACUUUUUGUGUUUUGGGGGUGGGGGAGGGUAUGGGGGAGGGGGUAAUAAAUAUUUGUGCUGCACCUUAGCCAUAUUAUCUAAUAUUCUAUCAUUUUUAAAAAAGUCUUUCUUUCAGUUGAUAAAGUGAUCAUUGAAAUUACUUUGACAAGUUUUAUCCUCCUCCAAUCUAAUCUUUCUUUUUACUUUCUAAUGCACAUUUAAGGAUUUUUUAGGACUAAUUUAUCAACUUUGUUGUCAUUAAAAUAUUUCUCUUUCUUUUAGUUGAUAAACUCAUUAAUUAAGGUACUUGGCAUGUUUGACCUCUGCCAAGAUAGGCUGGUUCCUCAAGAAAUGCCCUCUUCAUGGUCAUUACAUUUAGACCUUAUUUUGUGCCUUCAAACUUCUUUUUAUAUUUGAACACAUUUUAGUCCACCUUCCACAUAUAGAUUUAAACCA